GUUAGUCCUAGCAGUAAACGAUGGCUACUAGGUGUGGGGGGUGUUGACCCCUCCUGUGCCGAAGCUAACGCAUUAAGUAGCCCGCCUGGGGAGUACGGUCGCAAGACUAAAACUCAAAGGAAUUGACGGGACCCGCACAAGCAGCGGAGCGUGUGGUUUAAUUCGAUGCAACGCGAAGAACCUUACCUGGGCUUGACAUCUAUUUGCAACACUCUGAAAGGGGGUGCUUCCUUCGGGACAGAUAGACAGAUGCUGCAUGGCUGUCGUCAGCUCGUGUCGUGAGAUGUUGGGUUAAG
rnacentral:rRNA from 1 species